UGGACUGUCUGGAAAUGGUUCUUUAUCUGGAUCAUCGUAUCUAGCUCUUUUGAAACGUUCAUUGAAUGGUGAUCUUGGUUCAUCUCGAACACCAGCUUUCCCAAGCAGCUGUCUUUCUUCACGGUUAUCAAACCUACAGACGGCAUCACCAUCUAUCUUCUGGAACUCUGCUGUACCUUUUCCCUGCUGUCUGAGAGCAUCUCUGAAUUCAUCCGAUUCUCCCC
rnacentral:lncRNA from 1 species